GCAGCAGACCGGUCUGUCGCUUAUUCUUUUGGGGAUGAGAGGAAAGUCCGGGCAACACAGGGCGCCAUCCUUCCUAACGGGAAGCUGUCUGCGAGGGCAGAGUAACGUAGCAGAAAAGAACCGCCGCGCCGUAAGGCGAGGUAAGGGUGAAAAGGUGAGGUAAGAGCUUACCGCUCCCGUCGGAAUACGGGAGGUCCGUACGUCUGAUGGGUUGUAAGGUCAUGUAUACCGACGAUAGAGGGCGGCUCGUCCGAUGUCGGGGGGUAGACCGCAAAGAGUUUGCCGGCGACGGUAAGCCAAGAUAAAUGACAGACGCUUCGUCUUUCUUUUCGGGGUGACGGAGUACAGAACCCGGCUUACAGGUCGGCUGCCUUU
rfam:Tannerella forsythia 92A2, complete genome.